UCUCCUUCAUUUUUUCUUCUGAGGCUUAAUAAAAUGAUGGUUUGACUAUAAUACAACCCGCUGUAAUGAUAGUCAAAACUUAUAUAUGACAAUUUAUAAUCUGUUUUAUGUGCUUCCAUGCAGUGAAGAAGUAUCUGUAUUGCUGUUAUAAUUGUCACGAAGUUGUUGUAUAAACAUUUCUUUGUAGCAUUCUCAUGAAUGGCUUAGUGAAAAGUGGAAGGGUUAUGAAAGCGAAAGGGUUUGGGGAAAAAAGUUGAGAAAAUAUUUUUUUGAGUAGGUUUACAUGGUACAACCAAAGAUAGGACGUCAUAAAAAUUGGUUAUCUUCAUUUCUUUAUUCUCCAAUGUUGGACAAAUUUUUGAUUUAUCUAUUUCUAUAGUUGUCCCUCAAGGGAGCAACUUUCGUAGAGGAGAAUAAGGAUGUGUCUGAACUGUCGCCAUUGCCUUGAAAGAAAGGGGAUUACCACCUCCUAAACCAUGAUGACGAUGGUAAUUCACGCUUUACAGUAAAGGUGAUUAUCGAUUUUCUCCUCCCAUGUGAUAAAGAGAGAUACGAGGGGGAUGGAGAGCAAGAGAGCGAAGAAAGGCCAAGGGACAUGGCCUGAGGACUUUUCUUUUAGUGAUCACAAUGACUUUUCCUAUCAGAAGGGGACUUCUGUUCUUUCCGGUGAUGGUCAUUACCCUUGAUACACACACAAAAAAGAAAUUUAUAGCAUAAAGGCACAUCAAACUUCAAAGACAGGAAGGUUGUGAUGAGGAGCUUAGGGCUUGGGCCUUGAGAGUUUCACCAUCACUCCUGACCGCCAUUUUUCUUGGCAAAGAUGAUCAAUUUCGAUGGAGAAAAAGGAGAGCAGCAAAUUGGAGUUUGGAGAGUUUUGGGGGCACAAGAUUGAAGAUUUUGGGGCCUAAUGUUGGUUUAGAUUUUUUUUUUAAAUCCACUUUGAUUGGUGCAAGUUAACCAAAUUGUCAAACUCAGGCAGUCUGAGGUAUCAAAGCCAGCGGUUCUUUACACUUUUUUUUAAAGUUAAAUUGGGUCAUGAUCUAAUUUUGCUAGCAACAUAAUGGAUGGUGGGACAACUGUUGACAACCCUAGCAUCUGGAUUUUAGAAGAUUUUGUUAUUGGGACUAUUGGUGUGUCUAGAAUCUGUUCGUAAAAAAUAGAAAAUGGCAAUAAAAAAAUAUAUCGAAAAUCUUGGCAUGGAAUGUAUGACAAAUGGUGUCUUAGUACUGGAUUUUCAUUAAUGCUCUAGUUGCUCAAAUUAUGUAUCUAUCCUUGAUGUUGCACUUCAAACUUCAAAGUGCUGGAUGGGAGUAUGAAAGAUCUGAGUCACCUUGCAUUGUGCUAAGGUGAAUGUGGAACAACAUGGGGUUGCAUUAAGUGUUUUGGAAUUUUUUAUAUAUGAGGAAGAAAAGUUGUGGAUACUCUAUCUUCUCAAUAGACAAUACCCAUACCAGCAAAUUUUUAAGCAAGUUAGCCGUGAAGGAAGCUAUAAAGACCAAGGAAUUUAGAAUCAAAUUGAGAGCAACAUGGGAAAAAUUGUCCCAAACGGGUCUGUAAAAGAAGGUGCAAACUGAAGCUUCAAGAGUGGCACAAGUAGAUGAUGGACGAUCUAUAAGGACUUGAACAAAUCCUUGGGCUGUUAAUGGAAAACUAGGGUUAAGACCGCAAUAAUAUGACUUGUCAAAACAAGGAUCAUGUGAAAAAGGAACGGGAAAGACAAAGCUCAUAGCUCUCACCUUAAGGUACAUACCUGAAAAUAAACCUCACUUGAAAAGCACACCCACAUGCACAUCAUAAGCAAAAUCUCACCUUCUUACCAUAAAUGAUAAGUCCCUGCCGCAGAAAUAAUGAAAAUAGUAAAAUGAAAUUAUGUAAUGUAUGUUGAUCCACAAAGAAAACUGCAAUAAUAUGACUUGUCAAAACAAGGAUCAUGUGAAAAAGGAGCGGGAAAGACGAAGCUCACAGCUCUCACCUUAAGGUACAUACCUGAAAAUAAACCUCACUUGAAAAGCACACCCACAUGCACAUCAUGAGCAAAAUCUCACCUUUUUACAAUAAAUGAUAAGUCUCUGUCGCAAAAAUAAUGAAAAUAGUAAAAUGAAAUGAUGUAAUGUAUGUUGUUCCACAAAGAAAACCAUAGAAUACUUAUCCAUAAUAUUGUAGUUGAAAGCGUUAGGGGCAUGCUUCUAUUGAUAAUGUAUUUCAUAUGCAUACACAUGCAGGUUCAUACUAGCAUAAGUAAACCAAGACUUGAAGCUUGCACAAGCAGCAGUUCCAUUAUAUAUCCAUCAUUUGAAUCAAUAUACUAUACACCUCAAGAUUCAAAAGUUUAUCAUAGAUAUCAAACAAGUAAUACCUUCUUCACAGGUUGACUUAUAAUGUUGUAAAAAUCAGUCAUGCCAACAAUAAUGAAUAAUAGCAUGAAGGAUCUAAGAAAGCAAGUAUGUUUCUCACUUUCUCUUAAUAUAUUUCAAAUUGCCAUACUCUUCAUUCACAUGAUCUAGAUAAUAAAGUUGGAUUAUGCAUCCGUUGUGUGAAGAGCAGAAUAAUAUUGUGCCAUCUUGUAUUUAUUGAGGAUUGUGAUUUUCUUAUUUUUGUGAAGCUUGCAGUUUCUUGACUUAAUUUAAUCUUCAUUCAUAUUGGAAAUUGAGUCACAACCGUCAGCAUAGAGUGACUAAUUGUUGACUGCUUAAUGCAGACGAAGCACCUUACGCAUACCAGUGAAUGUGGAGAGAGUAAGUUUAGGAUAUGCCCUGUGAUUGUGGAAAUUCAUGAAGCAACAUUUAUGGGGUUGAAUCCCAACUGAUUAGGAUGAGGCUUGUCAGCUAAAGUAUGGUUGAUGGCUCAGCACUGAACAAAUUUCAAUAUUUGAUUGCAUAUGAAUCUCCGCAGGUGAUCUUGAAUCAUAGUCCAUAUUCAUAUAUUGUUUUACUAGUUUUAUCCUUUUUUUCUCAUAAAGGAAGUGGAUAUAGGAUACAGCAUGGCAGGUUAUUUUCUCUUCAAGAAUUCUCUGUUGCUGUCACAGGCAUGCUUUUUCAUAUGAUUUCCCUCAUAAAGCUUCCCCAUGCUGUAGAUUCUUGUUUUAUAUUGCAAACAUGAUAUUUUCAUUUUAUCUUUGGAUCUCUCAAAGAAUUAAACUCGCAUAGAACCCAAUCAUGAUUUAUGCCUGAAACAUGAUAGCCCAGUGAGAAAACUUCAGCUGGUUAGGACUGUGCUCAUCACACACUGGUGCUUUAGGAUUGCACGGGUCUUUUUGUUAAUGGGCACCUUUACAUGUAGUCUGAAAAGAAAAAGGAGACUUAUAGAGACUUGGCCUUAGUUUUUCCAACUAAAGUCUGAUGGGAGAAUGGCAUGCAAUGCACAUGAUUUUCGAUAGCUAUAACAUUUGCUUAAAAUAUGCAGAAGUUUGAUUUGAGUAAGCUGUGAUCACAGGUUCAAACACUCUUAAGUCAGUCAAUGCAUCUAAUUCUGAGGUUAUGCCUGAAAAGAUAUUAAAGAUGCACAAUUAUCAUAGGCAUUUAUGUUUUUGUAAAGUUGUUUCUGUGAUUUUUUAAGUAAUUAUUUUGAGCUAGAUAAUAUUUUUGGCAUAUUCUUACCUGUGACUUGAAUAAAAGAUAUAUUACCCAUUUCUUGAUCUUGUGACUUAGUUGUAUGUGAAAUAGAUUCUCCUGCUUUCUUGUACAGUUUUUUUUUUUUUUUUGAAUUAUUAUACUCACGAGUUCUUUGAAAUGGUUAAUGACCGUCAUGGCUAGGCAUUGGUAACUCUCCCAUACCUUGUCAUCCCACUAUGUUAUAUACAUGCAUUCACAAACAUAAACAGAUAUACAGCUGCACCGAUCAGUAAUCUCUCUCUUAUUAAGUCCAUUUUGUUCUAUAUUCUCUGUGAAAUUUUCUAUCUUUUUUGCUGACAUUAGUUAUAUUGUUAAAUGAGCACAGAAUGAAGAAGACCAACACAUCAAAAGAGGUCAGCAAUCCAAUCAUUUUUUGGUAUUGAAAUUCAAUCUUUCAAAUUCUGGCCAUCCUUAUCUUCCUGGUUGCAUCAUAAGUUUCACUGCUUCAUAUGCCUGGUUGCACAAUGGAGGCUCCUCUGGAUCAGCUUGUCCGUGAAAGCUCGCAACCUGUUGCUUUUUACUACAACGGUUCUCGAAAGCUCUGAGCCAAAGCUUUAAUCCACAUCUAAUAUCCAUCAUAUGAUUCAUAUCAACUCCAAACUAGGCAACUACAACAAUUUGACAGCAUCAGAAGUAAUGUCCAUAGUCAAAGCAAAAGAAGAAUGGUGGUAUGAAGUAUGCCCUCUGUCGUUAAUUCAUGCUUACUGCUUCCAGCAAGGUUGAAAUCAACAGACCUUUUCAACUGUCAUAGGAAUUUAGCCAUGGCCAUGAAUAUUCUUGUUUUUUCCAGAGGAACCAAGUAAAAAAAAAAACUUGUAGUUGGGAAUAUGUUGAGGCAUUUGUAAAGCCCACUUGGUGGGAGAAGGACAUGCACCAGUUGACCACACUCUUCAGAGCAGGGAAAGGAAGAAAGAGGGAGGGAUAUUAUGGAUGCUGAGGUCAGCGAGCACUUGGAGCAGGGUGUGUUGUUGCUGGCUUUUUCACCAAAGAGGUCUUUUAGUGCAUGGUCAUGCUCUCUCUUCCCACCUCACUUCCAUGCAUAACUUGGUGAAAGACAUCAUUCCAUCUGAGAAAGGACCCGAGGGGAGCCCACCAUGCUAGAGUCUGCUGAGGAGAAAAGAAAGAGGGGAAGAGGUGUCAUUUCCUCCCCCCCCCCACCCUUUGAUCCUUGAUACAUCUUAUCAUAUCCAUCUGGUCAGUCUCGUGCGAUCCUCAUGCCUGGGCCACUCAAAUUUCUGGGACUGUGCUCACAAGAGAUGGUUGUCGGGCAUAGGCCACGGGUAUCGUGGGGCAGUUGAUGGGGACUCCAUACUGUUCUUUGUGCUCUCACCUUUGUAUCCAUGAUGUGACCUUGAUACUCUGGAAAAUAAAUAUUCAGUACAUAACUGAGACUGUUCGUCCAAGUGUUAAAUAUUUCUAGCAAUGUUAUGCCUGUUCAUUGUUGUAAUGCAUGAGAAUUUUGGUUUA